UACGGAGGGUGCAAGCGUUAUCCGGAUUCACUGGGUUUAAAGGGAGCGCAGGCGGGCUGGUAAGUCAGUGGUGAAAGCCUUGAGCUUAACUCGAGAACUGCCAUUGAUACUAUCAGUCUUGAAUAUUGUUGAGGUAGGCGGAAUAAGUCAUGUAGCGGUGAAAUGCAUAGAUAUGACUUAGAACACCAAUUGCGAAGGCAGCUUGCUAAACAAAUAUUGACGCUGAGGCACGAAAGCGUGGGGAUCAAACAGG
rnacentral:rRNA from 1 species